GUCACAAUGAAGACGCUAAGAACUCGAAUGCACCUCAUCUGAGAGGAGGGACCCUCAGUUGAGAAAAUGCCUCCAUAAGACCUAACUUGGGCAUUUUCUUAAUUACUAAUUGAUAGGGGAAGACCCGGCCCACUGUGGUUGGUGCUCUCCCUGUACUAAAUGGUCUUGGGUUCUACAACAAAACAAGCCAUGAUGAUGAGCAAGCCAGUAAGCAGAAGCUCUCUAUGGCCUCUGCAUCAGCUCCUGCAUCAGCCCUGCCUGAGUUCCUGCCCUCAGUGCUUUUGAAGAUGAACUGCUCUGUGGAGCUAUCGAGGAGGUACGAGCUGACAGAAUCUCCCCCAAAUCCUAUGCCGGAAGUUAUGGUCCAGUCCUGCUGGCACUGCUGUGAGACCAGCUCGUAGGGAAAUGGUGCCCGGCCAGCAGCCUCCUCUGGGGAGUCUCUGAAAACUCUCUGACAUCGGUGGCUAGCCUUUGUUCUGAGAUUCUUCGAACACAAGAACCACUUUUGAUGUGUAUUGAUAUCCCAGCCCACAAUGAAUAUUUCCUCAGGUAGAAUGAGUUGAGAAUGAGGAAAAGAGCACGGUCCCUGGCCUUCAGAAGUUGGCCUGGAUUCUCAGCUAGAACAUGCUAGUUCUUCUGUUGGUCAUCGCCUGCCUCAGAGGAGACCAGCCUCAGAGAUGACGACUCUGAGACCAUUGUGAAGUGACACAAAGCGGGCCCACUUCCUAAUUUCAUCUAAGCACAGGCAAAAAAUGAAGCCUCUGAGUU